CAAAUGCUCCCUCUGUCCGGAAAUACUUGUCAUAAAAAUAAAUGUAUCUAGAUGUAUUUUAAUUCUAGAUACAUACAUUUUUAUACAUUUGUGUGACAAGUAAUUUUCGAAGGAGGGAGUACUUC
rfam:Hordeum vulgare subsp. vulgare, WGS project CAJW01000000 data, contig: morex_contig_159822